rnacentral:rRNA from 1 species
GUAGGGAAUAUUGGGCAAUGGAUGCAAGUCUGACCCAGCCAUGCCGCGUGGAGGAAGAAGGUCCUCUGGAUUGUAAACUCCUUUUUUGGGGGAAGAAUAGUUCUCUUGCGAGGGAAUGUGACGGUACCCUAAGAAUAAGCCACGGCUAACUACGUGCCAGCAGCCGCGGUAAUACGUAGGUGGCAAGCGUUGUCCGGAUUUAUUGGGUUUAAAGGGUGCGUAGGUGGUUUGAUAAGUCAGUGGUGAAAGCUGGUUGCUCAACAAUCAAGUUGCCAUUGAUACUGUCGGACUUUAGAGAAGUGGAGGUUCAUGGAAUGGAUGGUGUAGCGGUGAAAUGCAUAGAUAUCAUCCAGAACGUCGAUUGCGAAGGCAGUGGGCUGUACUUUAUCUGACACUGAGGCACGAAAGUGUGGGGAUCAAACAGGAUUAGAAACCCUAGUAGUCC